AUCAAUCUUUUUACCAUAGGGCACCUGGAUCUUCCCUGAUUCUUUUUGUUUGAAAAAAAUAGUUGUGGGAUAACAUUAGACACAAUCUACUGUUCAAGUCUCUGUGAAUUGAUAUCUUCAGAAUAAUUCGUAAGAGUUAAUUCUGAAAUAUUCUGAAUUGAAGUACUAGUUAAUAUGAUUUACUUUGUA